GUGCUCACUUCAGCAGCACAUAUACUAAAAUUGGAGUGAUAAGCAUGGGCCCUGCACAAGGAUGAUGUGCAAAUUCGUGAAGCGUUCCAUAUUUUU
ensembl:snRNA U6 U6 spliceosomal RNA